ensembl:lncRNA
CUGUGCCUCCCCUCAAAACCUUUCUCCUCCUUCCCAGGUGAGUCCUCUCUCCUCCCUCCAGCUUUCCGCGCACGGAGAGUUCUUCCAGGCAUUAGAAAUCUCAGCAACCCUCUCAGCAGGCCCACCUCACGCCGCAGCGGGGAGGAAGAGUUCAAAGGAAGCUGUGCCAAAGAUCUGGAAGGCUUAGUGGGAGAACCGGCAACAGGUGGCACCAGGUCUGGGAAAGAGAUUCCCAGAAAGCGGAGCGGGUCUCGGAGGGGGUGGAUUUGGCGCGAGGCGCCCGCGAUCAGCGAAGGCAAGGGGAGCGCGAACUCCUUAGCCUGGCCGGGCCGCUACGAGGCACCUCGAAGGAGGCCGGGCGCCGUGCGGCAACCCAGGCAGGGCAGGAACCACCGCCUCCCGGGCUCGUGGGGUGCAGCUCUGAACCUGACCCGCUCGGGUGGCGGCCGGGCGCCCUCCAAUCCCGGGCCCAUCUGCGGCCGUUCCCUGCACCUCACGCCCAGCGGGACUCCGGGGCCCGGCCUCAGGGACUGGCGAGGAAGUGACGGGGAAAGAGACUCCGGACAAGGAGCAGGACCCAGCUCCAGGAGGACAGCGCCCAACCAGCAGGUCGGCGGCGCACCAGGGACCCCGCCCAGACGCGGGGCGCCCACAGCCCUGCUGAGGCGACGGCGGGGCGCGCAGUGCGCAGGCGCGGGGCGGGCCGUACCUGGAAAGGAGCAGAGGGAAGUAGAGUUGGGGCACAGGGUCCCGUUGCCCACCCGCGGCACAACCUUCAGGCUCAGGAUCUGCUGCAGGAGCCCGGCCGACCCGCCGCUGCCGCCGCUCCCCUCGCGUUCCAUCCUGUCGCCAUUCACCACAAAUGAGGGACGAGCACCCGAAGUGCGGCAGCGGCCGGCCCUCACUCACCCUCGCCGCCUCAGCGUCACCUCCAGCCGGAGCCCUCUUCCCCCAAUCCCAACGGCGCUGCCAAGUGACUGUUGCCUCCUCCAAUCACAAGGCUCCGCAGCGCGCGGGCGCAGGGCCAGGGUUGUUCCCGCCCCCAACGUUGCGCAGGGCUCGCACAGACCAGCCCCAGGGACGCGCCCCCUCCUGGACGGCGCGCUCUGGGACCGCGCGCCCAGCUCUGCCCUUCUCUGCAGCGCCCCCUGCGACAAAGUAGGGAAUUGCAUGCGCACCACGAGACCCGAGGAGGACAAAGUCGUUUGAACAAGACAUAAAAUCCACUGACCAUAAGGAAAGGAUUCACAUCCAACAAUAUGAUAAACCAGGUGAAACUUUUUGGAAUUUGAUUGUGAUGAGGUGGUGAUUUGAUUUCACAGGUAUGUACAAAUGUUUAAUCAAACUACACUUUAUGUGUAGAUGUUGUAUAUCAAUUUUAUCUCGAAGCUUUUCUUUCUUUUUUUAGGAAGCCUGAGGGGAAAAUGCCAUAAAGUAAGUUAAAAAACAAAACAAAACAAUAAUAACAACAACAAAAAACAGAUGACAAGUUAGGAGAAACCAUUUGCAACAAAAAUAACAAAGCACACUCAAAAGAGCCUGCAGUAAGUCGACAGAAACGUGGGCAAAGGCCUCGAACAACGAAAAAGGAAUACAGCUGAUUAAUAAGCAUGAAAAAAUGUUCAGGUGCCCCAGGAAUUAAAGAAGUGCAGAUUGAAACAUUGAGUAGUAUUUUUCACCCAUCAGGUAGGUAAAAAU